CGAGGAGCAAGGGGAGAACUUUUUUCAGAGCAAACUUAGCACUUAGAGCGAUUUAGGCAACUUUCCGUUUUUGUUAUUUCGAGCUGCGACUCAAUUAGGUUUAGCCGUCUUAGGGUUGUUAGAACUAGGAAUCUCGCCGACAGCUCUCAUAGCCGAGGCUUCUACCUUGUUGUAACGCUCCUACGCGAAUUCGGAAUAAAACUCCUUUUGCUCUCUUUUUACGAUUUCAUAUACUUUAUCAUUGUUACCUCGUGUUCUGAUUGCUUAGCGUGUGGUAUUAGCAGAUAUCCGGGACCUCUGGAAAAUUAGGGUUCUCCUACUUUCCUUAUUUAAACGGAAAUCGACAGUGCAAAUUUCGGUUCCCACAACACACUCUCGACAAAAGUUCCAAAGCAUAAGACGCGAGAGAAACAGAUCACAGAAUUAAACGAACAAUCUAACUCGCAUGUUCGGCGAGUUAGAUUUAGCACACCAUCCAACUUGCCGAAUGGGCGAGUUGGACCGAAUGCACCAUCCAACUCGCCGACGGUCGAGUUGGACCGAAAGCACUGUCCUACUAGCCGAAUAGGCGAGUUGGACCAAACGCGCCGUCCGACUCCUCCCGACUCGCUGUAAGCCGACGUGGACCGUGCCUUAUGCCUUUCACCGAACCUCGACGGAUCAAUCCCUCGUUUUGUAUCGAUCAGAGUUACCAUUGGAGCUUUACAAUAAGAACCGCGAAGACUCGUUUCCCCGAAUGAAGUAUGUGUUAAUCGUAUAAAUGACAACAGGUAACUUAACAUCACAAUUGUCUGAACUAUACGGGAAGUGUGGACUUCCUCUAUAAAUAGACGUCGCGUCAAGAAACGUUCUUUCGAAGAAGUCGUAAGAACAUCUAAGUCUAAAAACGGCCGUAAUAGGCCUAUAACACGGCUAAUGGCCCACUUACGAUUUCAUACGAAAUUGAGCCCGACAAUUCUAUGACGGUGUAUCUUUACUUGCAGAAGAAGAUAAGUCUCUGGAAAUAGGAAGAUAAAUGUCAAGUUUCCAAGAUAAUGAUGAAGAUCGACAAGAAAAGACUUAUUUCCGCGAAGCGAUAAACUUGACCUAGGGGUAAAAAGGGAACGGGAACCGACCCAGAAGGCUAUAUAAGGGGAGCUAAAGCUAAAGGCGCAGGGAGAGAGAUCUUUAGACCUAGAACAACUUUGCUAGCUUAGAGAAACUUUGAAUUUAGGUGGCUUGAUUUUUACUUAGAUUCUUUUCGUCCUUGUUAUGAGAUUUAUUUGGCUAGCGAAACUUUGUCCGUCUUGUCUCUCAUAAACCCUAUAAUUUUACUCUUGUCAAUCAAUAAUACGCCUCUAUGCAACUUACUUUCGAUAUUCUGUUAUCUUUGUCUAUUUCUUUUUUGUGUGUUUACGCAGAUAAUUUGGGACCUCUGGGAAAUUUAGGGUUUCCUAUCUUUCUUUAUUUUACGAAAAAUCGACAGUGCGAAUUUCAGUUCCCACAGUUUGGCGCUAGAAGGGAGGGGGAUCAGAUUCUCUAACUCAAAAAACACCGAACGUCUGAGACACGAUAUGCCUAAUUGAUAGAACAUGGAUUUGACCCACUUUCACCAAUGGUUUAUAGGUGUUUUAUCAACUAAUAAUUAUAUUAUAGAGUCUAUUUAUUAUAUUUAUAAGAUCAGGAGUGAUUUGGAGAUAAGUGAUCAUUUUGGAGCAUUUUGAAGAUAUUUAGAGCAAGCACCUUAGAUAACCAUCGAGCUGGACCAUCGGUCGAUACUAAGGGAGAAAUAUCGAAUGUUCACAACAGAACAUCGAUCGACAUCGAAGCGCGCAGAAAACUCGUUUGGUCACAGCCAACUUGAAGCCCAAGUCUUCACCAAUUUACAAGAUUACGCCUAAUGAGUUUUAACCUAAUUAUAUAAGCUUUGCCACCAUGUUAGAGGCAAAGUUUGCUUUUCUUGUGUUUUCUUGUUUUACUAUCUUCAGCAAAGGUUUUCUAGGAUUUGGAUAAAUUGGAGAGAAGAUCCAAGGUUAUAUUUGUGAUUGGAACUCCAUUGAUAUCUAUUUACUAUUCUAAUGAAGUUUUCUUACCUAUUUGCUGUUAUGAAUUGCUCAUCCAUGUCUGAGUAGUUUCUUUGUUAGAUUUUAGGGUUUAAAUAGGAUAUGAGGGAUUAGCGCCAACUAUAGAUUGCUGAGUUGUGAUAAUAAUCAUUAGGAUUGUCAUUAAUGCCUGAUUCUAGAUUAGCUACCUAGAACUUGCCCUAGGAAUGUUAUAUAUAAGGGAUAGCUUCAAUCUCAUCCUGAAACCAUUCUAAUCGAGCUAAGAUUCUUGCUAGAGUAAGGCGAGAGCUGAUCUAGCAAGCUUAGUGAGCAUAUUCAACCCGUGCAUUAAUGCUUGGCCAAUAGCAUCGAUCGAUAUUCAAAUAGAAUAAUCGAUCGACGUUGCGAAUAGUGUAUCGAUUGAUAUUCAUAUAGAAUCAUCGAUCGACACUGGUCAAUAGACGAACCUAGAAAGCGAGAGCCUAGUGGUUCGUUUAUAAGUCUUGAGCUCUACAUUAUCAUGCAUGCAACUCAUUAGGCUUCUGUAGGAUUAUAAUUCCUAGUUUCCUGAAUAAAAACCCUAAGUCUAGCUAUUUCCUUUUAAGCAUCAAUUACUUGCUCAACAAACUGCAAUUUUACAUUGAAAUCAUUAAACCAACUUACUUAACAAAUCCAAUUAGAUUUAUUUGGUUCCCUAGCUCCUUGUGGAUUCAAUCCCAAAGUACUACAAUUGAACCUCUUAACCUCUUAUUUGAGAGAGUAAAUUCACUCCUUAUGGUUAUUUGAGUGAUAUCAAAUUUGGUGCCGUUACCGGGGAGCUUUGAUCGCCUAUUAGAUUUAAUUUUUGUUAAGUUUAAAACAGAUUCCAGACAUAAAAUGUUUUCUUGGAUUUUCAGGUACAUGCCCAGCAGUACCACAAGUAACAAGGAAACCAAACUGCUAUUCUCACCAGAUCAUGCAAGUUUGGAUCGUUCAAUCCGCAAAAAAAGCAUGCUCCUCAUCGAUUGACAACAACACUUGUUCGUCGCUCGAUUUUCGUCAACCACCGUCGACUCAGGCACUAGUUCCAUCGACCGACACUCGCUCACCACCAUCGACCGAAGACACUCAUUUUCCAUCGAUCAAUAUCUUUCAUCUGACAUCGAUCAAUACUUCAGUCCAAACAUCGAUCGAUACUGAGCCGCGAGACCAGGGGGAGUCCUGCAUGACCAGGAGGAUCAUCUGCGUAAUGCAGCAUGUCAGAGGAUAGAUGCUCAGGGGACUGCAAUCCUUGAGUCUGAUACUUAAGCUACAUAAGCUGCUCAACCUCUAGAAGAGGCUCCUCGACUCAGAACAUUGGCUGACUACAACCGUCCAGAUCAGUUCUACACUAACAGAUCAGCCAUUCGUCCUCCAACUAUUCAGAGGGAUUUCGAAUUGAAGCCACAGUACUACACACUCGUGGGACAGACACCAUAAGAUGGGUUAUCUCACGAGUACCCUAUGGACCAUCUGGAGAGAUUCGAGGAUCUUAUAUCUGCUAAUAAAGUCGAGGGAGUCUCUGAAGACUACCUCCUAAGCAAGCUCUUCAAGUACUCACUUGCUGGAGGCUUAAGCAGUUAGCACCAGGAUUUCUCACAUCCUGGAGCGACAUAAAAAAUGCAUUCUUAUGCAACUUCUUUGAUGAAGCGUUUGCUGAAGACUUGAGGAGCAAGAUUGCUUCAUUAACUCAGGAGCCUCCAGACUCAUUCAGAAGCUCCUGGAUCAGAUUUAAGUCUUAUCAGAGAGACUGUCCACACCAUGGAUUCAAUGAAGUUCAACUGUUCAGUACUUUAUAAAGAGGCAUCGCGGUGCAGUACCAGAUGGCUCUUGAUGCUUCCAGCAAUGGGAAAUUCAACACCAGGAAUCCAGAGGAGGUAGUGAAAGUCAUUGAAAACCUAGCAUCCAGCAGCAGCACCAAGAAAACUGACUUUGAGAGGAAAAGAUAUGCCACCAUCCUUUGGAAUGAUCAAAUGGAUGAAGUGAAGGCAAAUCUGAACAGUGUUCAUAAGCUUCUUAGGAAGCAUGUCUGUUUGGUUGAAGAUGCAGAGGCUCUAGACACAGAGGGUAGAGCAGAGGAAGAAGAUGUGAACUUCAUUUGUGGAACUGGAUUCCAAGGUUUUGGAAACCAAGGUGGAAACAGAAACUCCUAUGGAAAUAGGGGCAAUUUCAACCAGAGUUCGCAGCACCAAAAACCCUACAGCAAAAACUAGAGCAACAACUACAACAACAACAUGGGUUAUGAAAACUCCUACUACCAGAAGCCACCACCGCCCACUCAAAAGAGCAAGAUUGAAGAGAUGCUUGAUAGAGUUCUUGAGGGACAACAGCGCAUGACAGUGGACUUCAAUGGGAAGAUUGAUUCUGUCUACACCAACCUGAACACAAAGUUUGAGACAUUGAGCACUCAUGUAAAGAAGCUGGAGAUGCAGGUUGUUCAGACAUGAGAAGCUGUUAAGAGGCAGGGAGCCUUGAAAAUAGGGGUGGAAUAUGAUGUGAUGAAGCACCACGUGAAUGCCAUCUUUGGGGGUGAUUUCUGGCAGGUGGUGAAGGAAGAGGAAGCUGCAAGAAGGAGAUUUCGAAGUAGAGAGUCUGAUGAUUUUCGGCAGAUCGCAUUGGUGUCGAUUGACGCCAAGCCACAAACAUCGGUCGACAGAGGUCAACUAAAACCGAUCGACAUCCUCUCCUGGACAUCGAUCGACAACACCUACGGAGUCAAUCGCAUCUUGUAGUGUUGUGAGGAUCAUGACUCACGAGAAGUUCACAACAAAACACCCACAUCCGCCCAGCCCUGUCUACGUAAACAUCGAUCGACAUUAUGACCCUAUCAUCGAUUGACAUCAAGAGACCGCCAUCGAUCGACAUCCUCCAGCGCCCAUCGAUCGACGAGCACCUCUUACGUACCAAGUGCAAAUGCCACAGAUAGAUGUUGCACGUCUUAAUGCACUUAGGUCCAAAACCAAACCUUUAGAAAACCCACCAGAGGCGUCAGGAUACCUUCAGAUGAUGGAGCAGAUCCUAUGGAAGUUGAUAGGGUUCCUACGGGAGGAACCCUAAGGAAAAGAAAGGAAAAAGUGGCGAAACAUCUGAAGAGGGAGGCUAAUGAAAAGGAAAAGAAAAGUUUCCGAAAAACAGUCUUCAGGAUUCCUCUAGAUAAGCCAUUCAAUGAAGCUUAUUUUAACCACAAAUUGUGGAUGUUCUUCAGAGAAACUAGAGAGACAGAAGAAGACAUUAGGAGAAUGUUCUAUGAAGCUAGAGAAAAGAUGAGGAAGAGGAUUACAUUGAAGAAGAAGAGUGAUCCUUGGCAAUUUGCAAUACCAUGUACAGUGAAGGGUAUUGAAUUCCCACAUGCCUUGUGUGACACAUGAGCAUCACUCAGCAUCCUACUUAGGGUUAUGGCAGAUCAUCUAGGUCGGCAAGUGAAUCAUUCCAAGGAAUAAUUCACUUUUGUGGAUUUUUCCCAAAGGAACUCAGGAGGGAUUGUGAGAGACCUAGAGGUGCAGAUUGGUAAUGCCCUAGUUCCAGUUGAUUUUCAUGUCAUCGAUAUCAAGCUAAACUGUAACUCUUCUUUAUUACUUGGGAGAGCUUUCUUGUCAACAGUGGGAGCAGUGUUCAACUUCCAAACCAACCAGUGGUGCCUAAUGCUCAUAGAUCUUCAUGUCCACUACAACCCUAUUCCAGUCAAGAAGCCACAGACGUCCUCCAGACGAAUUAUUGAUCCAUGAAUCAUUGCAGCUUGCCACUGUGGAGCCGAGUACGAGAUAGACUACUCAGCAUCGAUCAACACUCACACCGUGUCAUCGAUCGACACUCACACCGUGUCAUCGAUCGACACAACUCUGAAGAAAUCGAACGACGUUCGGAAAGAGGAAUCGGUGGAAUGUAGUCAAUGAGAAUGGGAAAACUACUGCUACAAUCCUACAAUGGCAGCAGAUACCAUGCAUACGGAGGACUAUGAUGAAGAUUAUGAGGAAGAACGAGCCGUAGAGCAAAAAUCGAUUCUUAACGAGGAAGAUAGACUUCUCCAUCAUUUCUCUUGGAAAAAGAAGUCGCCAUCGAUCGACAGAGACGUUUCAACAUCGAUCGACACUCAGCUUCAUCAACCAAACCGCCUUCGAGCAUCGACCGACAUCGCCUACUACACAUCGAUCAACACUAACGUCGACUAUGCCCGAGACGGAGAUUACUCAAUUCGCAGUUGGGCAGAUGAUCGCUAUCGCGAGAGCUACGCAGUACAGACAACAUACCGUGACCAAGGAGCUGAUGAACUUCAUGAAAGUUUCACAUAUGAGUAACUUCUCAACAUGCAAAGACGCGAUGAAACAGAUCAGAAACAAGCAGCACCUGCUCGGGAAAGAACACGUUUCAGCCAUUCGAUUGACAGAGCGAGCCGUCCAUCGAUCGACAACAAUCCUUCAACAUCGAUCGACAUUCGUUCAAUGCCAAAAUCCACUGUAAGCGAAAAAGCUAAAUUUGAUAAACAAUACCUAACACCAGACGAAUUUGGUAUUUUCAGGGACCCAGAUAGCUACACAAGAGCAAUCGAUGGACAUAUUCUGCACCUAUCUCGACAAGAUAUUGCAGACAUCCUACAGACAGCCAACGGAACAGACAACCUCUUCAUGCAACAACAAAACAUUCCAGAGCAUCAGGAGAAGGUUACAAAGGAGUUCUAUGACACAUCUGGUGUCAUAGAGAAUCACUUCAAACAGAAGUCUCAACAUCCUACUCGACCGUCGAUCGACGUUGACGUCCCAACAUCGGUCGACAGACGUCCAGAAUUUGGCAGAAGAGCAUUUGAUUUCUUUGGGGCUAGGAGAUUCUACUGGGAGGAGAAGGAUUAGUAUGGAAUCUACAGAGAUGAUCAGGGAUACGCCAGAGAUGUAGAUGGACACACCAUUCGUGUUCAUAACAAUGAUAUCAGAAGACUUCUAUAAAGAGCUUCAAGAGAUGAGCCAACCUACAUCUGUCUUCCAGAACAUGCUAGUUCAUUCACACAAACCAAGCUAGUACCAGAGAUCUACACCAAGUACGAGAUCAAUGAGAACAAGAGAAGAGCAAAGGAGACUUCCAGAUGAAGCUCGAUGGUGUCUACUAUCCACUGAAUCAUAGUAUCAGUUGGCUAACUACUUGCAUGGAAGAGAUAAGGCAAGACAUAGCCAGAAUUCAGCGAGCGACCGACAUUUCUCGACCUACAUCGAUCGACAGAGUUCUACAGGCAUUGAUUGACAGUCGCUUACUAGAAUCGAUCGACAGUCGCUCACCAGAAUCGAUCGACAGUCGCUUACCAGCAUCGAUCGACGACAAUCUACCACACUCGCAUACGAUGAAGUCUCAACCAGAUUUUCACACCAGGACAGAGAUAGAUCAGUUGGUAAAAGGGAUUUACAGAGCUCUGGAAACUACAAAAGAGAGGCUUGAUGAGAGAUGUGACGACAUCUAUUUCCCAGUGGACCUCACCAUUUGUGCUUUGACUUCCAAGAUAGAAGCUAUACAAGGGGAGUUGGUGGAGAUUCAGAGUUACAUUGCCCGUCGACAAGAAGCUUCAGCAUCGAUCGACAGACACAACAACAAAUCGACCGACAUUCAUCGACAAACAUCGUUCGACGAUGCUACAAACCGAGGGAGACUAGUACAAUAGGUGACAUCAUACAUGUCUGAUACACACAACCAUAGAGAGGAGAUCUCAGCUGACACAUACGCCAGACUUAUGAGACAUCAGUUCAAUCUUGAGAGUCUUGGAGAUAGACUGCAGAAGACAGAGGAUACAACUACAAUAGUGAAGGACAAAUGGCGCAUAGGAGAUGAAGCAAUGCGAGACUUCACUUGUACAUGGUUCAACAAGCGCAAAGAAGAGAUGGAGACUUGUUUCCCAGCAAGUGCCAGCUUUCAACAUCACUAGCCCAGUCACCUCCAAAGUCAAGCUAAAUGACUAUAACAAAGCGCUGAGUGGGAGGCAACCCACUAUUAGGUAAUAUUUAUUUGGUUUUUAUUAAUCUAGUAUUUAUGUUGGUUUUUAAUUAUUGCAGGUCAUUAUAAAAAAAAAAAUAUCCGAGUAGACGAUUGCCGUGAAUAGCGACCGACGAGACACUACCGACAUCGAUCGACAGAGCAUCACCUGCCGCGACCGAUAUCAACAUCCUUACAUCGGUCGACAUCCAUUCCGGUCUGGUAUAUCGUUCUAACUUGUUACAUUGAGCCCUUAUGAUUUAAUUAUCAUCAUAACUCCGACUGAAUUUACAUUGGGGACAGUGUAGUUUAAGUGUGGGGGGGGGGGGGGGGGGAGGUUUACUGAUAUUAGUUUAUUUAUGAGUUAUAUAUAUUUUCAAAAAUAAGUUUUUAUUGAGUCAAGAAGGGGAUAAUGUUUAUUUACUUAUUAUCUAAGAAGGGGAUGUUAGUUUAUUUACUUACUAUCUAACCACUCUCUAGCAUCAUUCUUUGAAGUUGUUGACUGCAGGGUGUAUUGAAUGGAAACACCAAAGUGGAUCAUCUGCCAAUAACAUCCAUGCUAGCCGAGAAAGUCUGAAGGAACCAAAGCUGACUUCCAACCUUAAUCAAUUCAACUUGCUUGUUUUGGGGCUUGGUAUAUAUUGGAUCGGAUUCCUCUUUCAGGUCUGAAAAGGUACAAGUCUGUAAAUUUUUGGUUUCCUUCUCUCCUCUCUUUGGCAUCUCAAAGAUAAAAAAAUAAAAGAUUGAAAUGAUUUCUCGGAAGAGGCAGAGGGGUAGGAGUGUCUCUUGUGAUCUCAUUAUUCUAAAUCUGAAAGGAAUGAUCACACAUUGUGGAAACGAGAGAUAGGAGUAUCUCCUGUGACCCCAUUUUUCGCUACACUUUGUCAAAAAAAAAAAGAGCUAAAAAAGUAGAAAAGUCAAUAAGAUGAACAAGAUGGCUAUAUCAGCAUCAACAUUCAUUGAAAU